CCCUGCUUAGCUCAGUUGGCUAGAGCGUCCGGCUGUAAUUUGAAGAAUAUGCCACUUCACUGGCUCACCGGAAGGCCCCCAGUUCGAUUCUGGGAGGAGGGA